CCACUUGCGCUCUGGGGGCUCAGGGUGGCUGAGUCGAGCUGGCAGGAAAUUCCUGAGCUCGCCUGGUCCAGCGUCGCGAUGCAGGAUGCGCUCCUCCUGUGGCUUCCGCUCGAUGCACUGUAGAUCAAUGGGCACGAAGGCCCUAACUGUCUUCUCGGGGAGCAGGUUGGCAUCCUCUUUGAAUGGCUCCUCCGACUUAGUAGGUGCCUCUGACUCUAGGGGCUCUGGUUCAAUAUCUCGCCAGCCCGGGGGAUCCGGAAGUGGGGCGCUAGGAUGGGGGUCAGUUCCCCAGGGUAAAGUGGCAGCCUCACUUAUUGUGCUGUCUGGACCAUCCUCAGGCCCCUCUCUGACUAUAGGAGACCCUACUGAAGACCCCACUCUGAGCGACUCAGUUCCAGGGGACUCAGUCCCACCUUCUUCCUCUGACUGCAGGACUAAAGCCUGCGGUGGGCUCUUCUCUGGAGUCUCGGGUUCCUUCAUGUCCAGCAGGGCCAGUGUCUCCGGUUCUGUCAUUGUGAGGCUUCAGUUCCGAGGGCUACCACAGAACGAUGUCAUCCUAUAGGCAGUGGGAGAAGUUCUGUGAGAAUACCUAGUCUUCUGGCCCCAGGACAGUUUCUCAGACCUAGAACUCCCCAGAGAAGCUGGCCUCAUGGGACUCUAGGGAGAACACUGUGGGGAGGAAGGUGUUGAAACAGAGAGGCGGGCGGGCAGCAGAGGAGCGAAAUGGAGGAUCCCUUUCAAAAUAAAUGUCAUCCAGCAGGACAAGGCUCACAGCUUCUGGAUUGGGCUCCCUUCGUUCACCUCUUGGGCCCCUCCUACCCCUGCCCUUUGGAUCCAUGAUACCCUCUUACUUUCCAUCUGCAAAGAGGCGGAGGAUCUCCGGAAAGGAGCUGCCUAGCUCCUGGCUGGCUCUGCAAGUAUUUCCCAGUUUCCCUCCCUUGCCUGUGUCUCCAAACCUGUCUGACCAGAGCGGGUGGGGCCCAGAUUAAAGGCGCAGGCCCUGCCCUACAGAAUCUGCCUACUGGAAGGACUCUAC
rnacentral:lncRNA from 1 species